CAAUACUUUUCACUGUUAAUGAAAUAUUAUGGUUACACUUGAAGAUUUUUGGAAUUGUAUGAGUUUGGAAGGAUAUUUAUUGUUGUUUGAUUGAUUAUUUUCUUGAUGUUGCGAGAACGGAAGUGGUACAUCAUACAUGGGGUCGACUGGUCGAGCAACUAUUUCUAGCGGCACUUCAACAGUUAUCAUCUUGCAGGUGUCUAUAAAGCUUAUGAUUUAAGAGAUGAGGGUUCAGACUACUUAGGAAAAGUUGUCUCCAAGAAAAAAUGGAUGGAGUUAACGAGUGGGAUGAAAAUGGCAAGGUUCCAAAUCAUUUGGAUCUAGAUGCGGA